rnacentral:rRNA from 1 species
UACGUAGGGGGCUAGCGUUGUCCGGAAUCAUUGGGCGUAAAGCGCGUGUAGGCGGUUCGGUAAGUCCGCUGUGAAAGUCGGGGGCUCAACCCUCGGAUGCCGGUGGAUACUGUCGGACUAGAGUACGGAAGAGGAGAGUGGAAUUCCUGGUGUAGCGGUGAAAUGCGCAGAUAUCAGGAAGAACACCCGUGGCGAAGGCGGCUCUCUGGGACGGUACUGACGCUGAGACGCGAAAGCGUGGGGAGCGAACAGG